rnacentral:lncRNA from 1 species
GAUGGAUUUACCCUGGAGUGAGAUGUCUGCUGCAAGGGCUGUCUACAACUUCAAGUUGCAUUGUGUGUAAAUCUGGCCAGACUGCAAGGCCUCUCCCUCUCUUCUGUCCCACAGGUGAGUCUAACAGCUUUCCAAAAUCCCAGAUCUGUUGGAGAUUUUAUCCAUUCCAUUCUUGGAAGUUGAGGAUCCCAAGCAUUUUCCAAAACUGAUUGAUGUCACCUCUCAUAAAUCCAGAAAUUAUUGACCCAAGAGCAAGCAUCAGAACUGGCCUUCAGGUAAACACAGGAUUAAAUAUUUCCCUAAAUAGGGAAGAGCUGACCAGAGAUUACUCGUACCCUGGAAGUCUGCAUAGAUGUACUGGAAGGGAUGGAGAACGGUGCAGACAAGGACUUCUUGGGCCUGUGUGGGCUUCCAGCGGCCUAGAAGGUUGCUGGGGAUUUUUUCUUAAUAUUUAUUUCCAGGCUUAUUCAGUUAUUGACAGAGAAACCAAAACUCUUAGAAUGUGUAGACUGCCUUGCUACCCUGAUCACUCCCAGUCCUGA